ensembl:snoRNA SNORD123 small nucleolar RNA SNORD123
GGUGAAAAUGAUGAAUUCUUGGGUACUGAUUCAUGUGAUACGAAAAAAGCCAUCCAUUUCCUGAUUCACC